rnacentral:rRNA from 1 species
GUCCGCACGAGCGCACCCCUAUUGUUAGUUGCCAUCAUUCAGUUGGGCACUCUAGCGAGACUGCCGGUAAUAAACCGGAGGAAGGUGGGGAUGACGUCAAAUCAUCAUGCCCCUUAUGACCUGGGCUACACACGUGCUACAAUGGCUGGUACAACGAGUCGCAAGCCGGUGACGGCAAGCUAAUCUCUUAAAGCCAGUCUCAGUUCGGAUUGUAGGCUGCAACUCGCCUACAUGAAGUCGGAAUCGCUAGUAAUCGCGGAUCAGCACGCCGCGGUGAAUACGUUCCCGGGCCUUGUACACACCGCCCGUCACACCACGAGAGUUUGUAACACCCGAAGUCGGUGAGGUAACCGUAAGGAGCCAGCCGCCUAAGGUGGGAUAGAUGAUUGGGGUGAAGUCGUAACAAGGUAGCCGUAUCGGAAGGUGCGGCUGGAUCACCUCCUUU